rnacentral:rRNA from 1 species
AUGGAACGCUGGCGGCAGGCUUAACACAUGCAAGUCGAGCGGGGAAAGGUAGCUUGCUACUUGACCUAGCGGCGGACGGGUGAGUAAUGCUUAGGAAUCUGCCUAUUAGUGGGGGACAACAUCUCGAAAGGGAUGCUAAUACCGCAUACGUCCUACGGGAGAAAGCAGGGGACCUUCGGGCCUUGCGCUAAUAGAUGAGCCUAAGUCGGAUUAGCUAGUUGGUGGGGUAAAGGCCUACCAAGGCGACGAUCUGUAGCGGGUCUGGGAGGAUGAGCCGCCAAACUGGGACUGGGACACGGCCCAGACUCCAACGGGAGCGAGCAGGGGGGAAUAUUGGACAAUGGGGGGAACCCUGAUCCAGCCAUGGCGCGUGUGUGAAGAAGGCCUUUUGGUUGUAAAGCACUUUAAGCGAGGAGGAGGCUACCAAGAUUAAUAUUCUUGGCUAGUGGACGUUACUCGCAGAAUAAGCACCGGCUGACUCUGUGCCAGCAGCCGCCGUAACAC